GUUAUAGACAACAAACUAGGCAACAAUGUGCAAUGCCAGUUGGCAGUUGCUAAGGCCAAUAAGGUAUUGUCAUGUAUAAAUAGGGGCAUUAAUUCUCUGGAUUAAAAUAUAAUUUAGCCUCUUUAUCAUUCACUGGUAAAACCACACCUUGAAUAUGUUGUGCAAUUGGGGGCACUUGUUCUAAAGAAGGAUACCAUGGCACUAGAGGCAGGCUACAAAAUUAAUAAAAUAAAUUAAACAUUGUAGUUAUGAAGAAACAUUAGUACAUUUAAAUCUUUUUCGUUUAGAAAAAUGGCGCCUCAAAU